ACAUCUCUUCUUGUUUUAAAUAAGAAGUAGGCCCUGCCCGGUGCUUAAUGUAAACGGCGGCCUUAGCGUGAGGGUCUUAAGGUAGCAUGACAAGUCGGCCUUUAAUUGGGGUCUGGUAUGAAUGGGUUGACGUUGGAUAAACUGUCUCAUGAAGUGUCUUUGAAAUUAAUUAUAAAGUGAAGAAGCUUUAAUAAAUGAAAAAGACGACAAGACCCUAUGAAGCUUUAUCGUAAUUUAGUAAAAACCUUAUAUGUUAUUGUUAGGGCUUACUAAAUAUGAAUUUGUUGGGAUAACAAAACGGGAAUGUGCUGUUUAAGAUAAAAUUUACUGACAAGUUAAUCCUUAAAUUUGGUAAGAUAUGGCAAGCUACUCUAGGGAUAACAGCGCGAUCUUUUUUUAGAGUUCUAAUCGAAAAAAAGGUUUGCGACCUCGAUGUUGGCUUUAGGUUACCUGAAGGCGUAGAGGCUUUCAAGAGUGGGUCUGUUCGACCUUUAA
rnacentral:rRNA from 1 species